UACGAGGGGGGCAAGCGUUGUUCGGAAUUAUUGGGCGUAAAGGGCGCGUAGGCGGUGCGGUAAGUCUGAUGUGAAAUCUCCGGGCUCAACUCGGAGUCUGCAUCAGAAACUGCCGUGCUUGAGUGUGGGAGAGGUGAGUGGAACUGCGAGUGUAGAGGUGAAAUUCGUAGAUAUUCGCAAGAACACCAGUGGCGAAGGCGGCUCACUGGCCCGAUACUGACGCUGAGGCACGAAAGCGUGGGGAGCAAACAGG
rnacentral:rRNA from 1 species